rnacentral:lncRNA from 1 species
AUGUAUUUCUAUUUUGCAUUUUUAUCUAACGAUAAACACACAUACACACACACAUGCACACAAGGGACAGAGAGAAAAAUAAGAUAUUCUAUUUGGAUUUUCAGGAGUGGGAACGCAUUAUUCCAUGCAGUGAAAUCUGAAGCAGCUUCCUGCCAUUUAGUAUGUCCAUUACAAGGUGUCAUAAUGAAAGCAGUAAUGGAUGAAUGUUAAAAAGUACAGAAGUUUGCUAUGCUUAAUUACAAAAGAGGAUGAUUCACUUCUCAUUCGUGCCACCCAGGGAAACUAGUCUGGCUGGAAGCCUCUUGAAAACGUUGUCUGAAAACAGUGCAGUCCACAUUUGUUGUGCCUGAAUCUGGAUUUUGUAAUCUUUAUGUGAGUUUGUCUUCCUUCUUCUUUAUUCUCCAAGCAGACAUACAUGUCUACGCUGAUAUGCCAUUCGUGAUUACAGAAGCAAUCACUGAAAAUAUUAGCCAUGGUAUGUCUCUGCUGUUAUGUUAAACAGGAGGAAAAAGUCUUGGGUCUUGGAACUGUCUUGUGAAAGGGUGGUGUCACCUAAAGGAUGCUUUUGUUGAUGUAUGGAGUCAGAGACUGGAGUUCUUUCUGGAAAAGGCUCAUUUGCUCCCAUUCCUGGUAAUGGUCUCCACAUCUUCCUUCUCUCAGCAGUAUCAGCAGCCUGAGCUUCCAGGUUGUGUUGCAUACACAGAUGACAAUUUGUGAGCUGCAUUUGCUGCUGAAAAUCCCUGUCCAAAUUAUUCCAAAACAAGGAAUUGGAUGAAAAAGCGUUUGAGAUAUUAGUCUUCCCAUUGGAAAUGGUGUUUGUGUUUUUUAUUCUUUUAUUUUUAAAUUCAAUUUAUUUUAUUUAUUUAGUUCAAAGACGUUCCUGAUUUAAAAGUGAAUAUUAUAUCCUGUUAUGCUGCAAAAUGUGAAAAACAGCAUUGUUGCUGCUUUUAUACUUGAUAACAUUCCACUCUCCUUUUGCCUCCAAGCCAAGUAGUACUGAAUGGAUUGUGUUCAUAUUGCUCACAGUUAAUCCUUCCCAAUGCAUUGCAGCUGCAUUUCUUCUGCAAGAUGCCGAGACCAAAACCGUCUGGGAUCUCUGCAAGACCAUUAUUUCCUAAAUUACUUUGUUUUUUAUCUUUGUAAUUUAAUAUGACUGAAAUAGCAUGAAGACUGCGCCACAGUCUUGAGGAACAGUUUCUUUAUUAGUAGC